CUAUGCGCCUUGCCAGCCCCGCUCAGAAACUUAAAGGAAUUGACGGGGGCCCGCACAAGCGGAGGAACAUGUGGUUUAAUUCGAUGAUACGCGAGGAACCUUACCUGGGCUUAAAUGGGGAGUGACAGCUGUCGAAAGAUGGUUUUCUUCGGACACUCUUCAAGGUGCUGCAUGGUUGUCGUCAGCUCGUGCCGUGAGGUGUCGGGUUAAGUCCCAUAACGAGCGCAACCCUUACCGUUAGUUACCAUCAGGUUAAGCUGGGGACUCUAGCGGGACUGCCACCGUAAGGUGAGAGGAAGGUGGGGAUGACGUCAAAUCAGCACGGCCCUUAUGUCCAGGGCUACACACGUGUUACAAUGGCCGGUACAAAGGGCAGCUACUUCGCGAGAAGAUGCUAAUCUCGAAAGCCGGUCUCAGUUCGGAUCGAAGUCUGCAACCCGACUUCGUGAAGCUGGAUUCGCUAGUAAUCGCGCAUCAGCCAUGGCGCGGUGAAUACGUUCCCGGGCCUU
rnacentral:rRNA from 1 species